rnacentral:rRNA from 1 species
GAGUUUGAUCUUGGCUCAGGACGAACGCUGGCGGCGUGCCUAACGCAUGCAAGUCGAACGGGGCUUAGCGAGCUUGCUUGCUAAGCUUAGUGGCGGACGGGUGAGUAACGCGUGAGCAACCUGCCUUUCAGAGGGGGACAACAGUUGGAAACGACUGCUAAUACCGCAUAACAUUAUUGAGUCGCAUGGCUUAAUAAUCAAAGGAGCAAUCCGCUGAAAGAUGGGCUCGCGUCCGAUUAGAUAGUUGGCGGGUAACGGCCCACCAAGUCGACGAUCGGUAGCCGGACUGAGAGGUUGAACGGCCACAUUGGGACUGAGACACGGCCCAGACUCCUACGGGAGGCAGCAGU